rnacentral:rRNA from 1 species
UAAUACCGGAUAACAAUGUUUGACAUAAGUUAAAUAUUUGAAAGCUUUAUGUGCUGAAGGAGGGGUCUGCGUCCCAUUAGCUAGUUGGUGAGGUAAAGGCUUACCAAGGCAACGAUGGGUAACGGGUUUGAGAGGACGAUCCGUCACACUGGAACUGAGACACGGUCCAGACUCCUACGGGAGGCAGCAGUGGGGAAUAUUGCACAAUGGAGGAAACUCUGAUGCAGCAAUGUCGCGUGAGUGAAGAAGGCCCUUGGGUCGUAAAGCUCUUUUAUGGGGGAAGAUGAUGACGGUACCCCAGGAAUAAGCACCGGCUAACUACGUGCCAGCAGCCGCGGUAAUACGUAGGGUGCGAGCGUUGUUCGGAAUUACUGGGCGUAAAGGGCGCGCAGGCGGAAUAGUAAGUCGGAGGUGAAAGCCCGGGGCUCAACCCCGGAGGGUCUUUCGAAACUGCUAAUCUAGAGAGGGGUCAGGGGCCAGCAGAAUUCCUGGGUGUAGAGGUGAAAUUCGUAGAUAUCAGGAGGAAUACC